ensembl:processed_transcript 1500017E21Rik RIKEN cDNA 1500017E21 gene
AUUAGGGACUAGGGGUGGGGAUGAUGAAGGCAGGGGCUGCUCCUGUAGCUGAGAUCUGGGGUUGACCUUCGGAGUCAGUGUGAGGAGGUCAGAGAGGAGGAAUGCAACUUCUCAGAGAUUUAUAGCCAGCUUGUGACAUAGCAUGGAGUUGGUGGUCUGCUAUUACAGAACCAUGGGAUUAAAAGUUUCAUAUUGGAAGUGCAGUGUGAGUGGAAGAAAGACCUUCAUUCUGGAGGAUGCUCUGCUUGGCCUGGAUGCUGCCCAUCAGAAGCCCCAGCAAGACUGUUUUCAGCAGGAAUUCCCCAGGUUUGAUGACAUCAUUCUGCUCGCUGUCCCAG